UACGGAGGGUGCAAGCGUUACUCGGAAUCACUGGGCGUAAAGGAUGCGUAGGCUGGAAAUCAAGUCGAGAGUGAAAUCCAACGGCUCAACCGUUGAACUGCUCUCGAAACUGGUUACCUAGAAUAUGGGAGAGGUAGAUGGAAUUAGUGGUGUAGGGGUAAAAUCCGUAGAUAUCACUAGGAAUACCGAUUGCGAAGGCGAUCUACUGGAACAUUAUGGAAGCGGAGGCAUGCAAGCGGGGGGAGAAAACAGGAGGAGAUAACAGGGGAGUCC
rnacentral:rRNA from 1 species